rnacentral:rRNA from 1 species
GACGAACGCUGGCGGCGUGCUUAACACAUGCAAGUCGAACGGAAAGGCCCUGCUUUUGUUGGGUGCUCGAGUGGCGAACGGGUGAGUAACACGUGAGUAACCUGCCCUUGACUUUGGGAUAACUUCAGGAAACUGGGGCUAAUACCGGAUAGGAGCUCUUGCUGCAUGUUGGGGGUUGGAAAGUUUCGGCGGUUGGGGAUGGACUCGCGGCUUAUCAGCUUGUUGGUGGGGUAGUGGCUUACCAAGGGUUUGACGGGUAGCCGGCCUGAGAGGGUUACCGGCCACAUGGGGACUGAGAUACGGACCAGAAUCCUACGGGAGGCAGCAGUGGGGAAUAUUGCAGAAUGGGCGGAAGCCUGAUGCAGAAACGCCGGGUGCGGGAUGACGGGCUUCGGGUUGUAAACCGCUGUCGAAUGUGACGAAGCGUGAGUGACGGUAAUGGGUAAAGAAGCACCGGCUAACUACGUG